rnacentral:rRNA from 1 species
GAACACCAGUGGGCGAAGNGCGGCUUUCUGGGACUGUAACUGACGCUUGAUGCACAGAAAGCGUGGGGGAGCAAACUGGAUUAGAUACCCUGGGUAGUCCACGCUGUAAACGAUGGAUACUAGGUGUGGGGGACAUACAACCUCCGUGCCGGAGCAAACGCAAUAAGUAUCCCGCCUGGGGAGUACGGUCGCAAGACUGAAACUCAAAGGAAUUGACGGGGACCCGCACAAGCAGCGGAGCAUGUGGUUUAAUUCGAAGCAACGCGAAGAACCUUACCAAGGCUUGACAUCCCUUGACCGCCAUAGAGAUAUGGCUUCCCUUCGGGGCAAGGAGACAGGUGGUGCAUGGUUGUCGUCAGCUCGUGUUGUGAGAUGUUGGGUUAAGUCCCGCAACGAGCGCAACCCUUAUCAUUAGUUGCCAGCACGUAAAGGUGGGAACUCUAAUGAGACUGCCGGGGAUAACUCGGAGGAAGGUGGGGACGACGUCAAAUCAUCAUGCCCCUUAUGUCUUGGGCUACACACGUGCUACAAUGGCCGGUACAAAGGGCAGCGAAGCCGUAAGGCGAAGCGAAUCCCAUAAAACCGGUCCCAGUUCGGACCGUGGGCUGCAACCCGCCCACGUGAAGCCG